GAGGACCGGGAUGGACGUACCUCUGGUGUACCAGUUGUCCUGCCAAGGGCAUGGCUGGGUAGCUAUGUACGGAAUGGAUAAGCGCUGAAAGCAUCUAAGCGCGAAGUCAACUUCAAGAUAAGAUUUCCCACCGCAAGGGUAAGACCCCAGAAAGACUAUCUGGUUGAUAGGUCGAAGGUGUAAGUGCAGCAAUGUAUUUAGCUUAUCGAUACUAAUAGGUCGAGGACUUGACCA
rnacentral:rRNA from 1 species